rnacentral:rRNA from 1 species
CAGCAGCCACGGGAAUACGGAGGGUGCAAGCGUUAAUCGGAAUUACUGGGCGUAAAGCGCACGCAGGCGGUCUGUCAAGUCGGAUGUGAAAUCCCCGGGCUCAACCUGGGAACUGCAUUCGAAACUGGCAGGCUAGAGUCUUGUAGAGGGGGGUAGAAUUCCAGGUGUAGCGGUGAAAUGCGUAGAGAUCUGGAGGAAUACCGGUGGCGAAGGCGGCCCCCUGGACAAAGACUGACGCUCAGGUGCGAAAGCGUGGGGAGCAAACAGGAUUAGAUACCCGCGUAGUCCCUGUCUCUUAUAU